rnacentral:ribozyme from 1 species
CUCAAAAAGAAAGUAGGAAGGGAAAGAAAAGAUAGACCAGAGACAAAUUUGGCAUAUUUUUUAUAAUUAGUAUUUUU